CACUAAGAAGCUAAAUAGGGCCAUAGCGUUAGCCUUUUAAGCUAAAGACUGGUGAUCCCCGCCCACCCUUAGUGA
rnacentral:tRNA from 4 species